rnacentral:rRNA from 1 species
UACAGAGGUCCCAAGCGUUGUUCGGAUUCAUUGGGCGUAAAGGGUGCGUAGGCGGCGCGGUAAGUCGUGUGUGAAAUCUCGGAGCUUAACUCCGAAACUGCAUUCGAUACUGCCGUGCUUGAGGACUGGAGAGGAGACUGGAAUUUACGGUGUAGCGGUGAAAUGCGUAGAUACAAUCAAGAACUCCGAUUGCGUAGGCAGCUAACUAGGCUGUAACUGACGCUGAGGCACGAAAGCGUGGGGAGCGAACAGG